UACGGGGGGAGCAAGCGUUGUUCGGAUUUACUGGGCGUAAAGGGCGCGUAGGCGGCGUAACAAGUCACUUGUGAAAUCUCCGGGCUUAACCCGGAGCGGCCAAGUGAUACUGUUGUGCUAGAGUGCGGAAGGGGCUACUGGAAUUCCUAGUGUAGAGGUGAAAUUCGUAGAUAUUAGGAAGAACACCGGUGGCGAAGGCGGCCCACUGGCUCGACACUGACGCUGAGGUGCGAAAGCGUGGGGGAGCAAACAGG
rnacentral:rRNA from 1 species